UUUCUUUUCUUCUUCUCUCUAUACGUUGGUGUUCUAACCAAUAAUCACCGAUGCGAUGUUCUGUCCGAUCGAUUCAGGAACCAACUAACGGAUGCCAAAGUGCUAUACUUUGAGAGUUCGUUAAACGGAUGCCAAAGUGCUAUACUUUGUGAUUUCGGUAAACGGAAUCCAAAGUGUUACACUUUGUGAAAUUCGUUAAGGUUCGAAUCUCGUGACUACCGUUAAGGUUUGAUUUGGGUUUUACACAAAUACGUAUUCCAUUCUGUUAAAUUAUAUGUUCAACUACCAAAAAUACACCCAACUACACACUCACAAUCAAACAAACUAUUAAAUCAUCAGAAGAUCCAGAAUAAUAAAGUGCAUGCUUAAUUAUCGGAAGAAGUAGAAUCAAGAAGCUUGUUAACUCAAUCUUGCAUGCUUAUAAGAGGAAUGAAGGUGGUUGUGCGUGAAGAAUAUACAAGCGUCGUAAGAGCUAUGCCAAGAGAAGGGGAGAAAGGAAGGGAUACCUUUGAUGGAAGUUAAGAAAGAAACAUAAUUCAGAUUCAACUUGUAGGAUCGAUUUCGACCUGAAUGAGUCGUUCGGAAGAGCUCUCGUACGUUUCAGAGGCGGAAACUAAGAAACGAACUUGAAAACAGCUUGAAAUACACUUUAAUCCUCUUGUACAUUCAAAUAACAGUGUUUACAAUGAGAGGAAAUACCGGCAGCACUUCGGUAUCACUUGGCCUAUCUUUUACAAAUGACAUCGUUUGACACCUAUAUAUAGUACAAGACCUUUCCGUUUGAAACCUUUCAAACGGUCACCUUUCAAACUAAAGGGUUUCAAACGGUCACUACUCAAACUGACAACAAUUUCAAACGGCCAACUUACAAUUUACGUAUUUCAUGACUAAUUCUAAUUGGGCCAUUCAUCAUUUGUCUUAUAUGUGAUGAUGCAGUGAUGAUGUCACUAUAGUGAUGUCAUCAUCAAAGAUGAUGACAUAAUCUAUGAUCAAAUCCGCAACGAACCCGAGACUCGACAUAAGACGAAGACGACAGAUGACUGCACCAACAGACUCCCCCUUAGAUGUUGACGAGUCUUAAGUGUCGAGUCUUCAACGUCUUCAGUCUUUAUCUGUCUGAACGCUCUCUGAAAUAUCUUAUAGUGUAAGCAUCCUCAAAUCUUUCUCUUCUCUUUUCAUCAUCACCAACAGACUCUCCACGAACAAUCUCUACUCGGAUGUCUUCAGACUCCCCCUUUCGAUAUGUUGGGAUCGCAGUCUGGCAUGUUGAAAUCAUAAAGUCUUCAGGUAUCGGAACCUGGAUCUCUAUCUCUUAGAAACCUGCACAUCCUCUACCUCACAAUAAAUUUCCUGAUGAUAACUUGAAAAAAAAUCUCACCAUCUAAUGAAUCACUCGCAGACAUUAUACAAUCAAAGAAUGAUUUUACAAUGUUAAUUUUUUUAAAGAACCACUUGAAGAUAUAUCAUUUUUAUUUUCAAAACAACACACUCUCCCAAACCAACUGUUCAUCAUAUUUAGCACCCGGAAUUUUGAAAAUUAGCUUUUCAAUAUCGGUUGUCGAAAAUCUUUUUGUAUUUUUCAAAAAUUUAUGCUAAAACACACUGAAAAUCUUUUUGGAUUUUUUACAUAAGAGAAAUAAAAUGCAGUAAAGAAAUAUUUACAUACAAUAUUUUUGAGAGUUUGUGUAAGAGGAUCAUAUCAGCUUAUGAGACAAAUCACCAACACCGUUAAGCUUGAUUUCGUUUUAAGUUUUAAACAAUUUACCUAGAUUGUCAGUAUACUGAUCCACUUAAAUUUUCACACAAAGUUCAUGUAACAACUGGCACAAAACCGGUAACUUCCGUACACUUUAAUUAUUAUUUAAUGACUGCAAUUAUGUGCUUAAAUGUCAACAUGGACUAAUUAGAUGCUAAGCAAGUGAAUUCAUGCACGUUGUAUACUACAAAAAAUUGCUUCAUGCAAUCGAGAGCGCUGCGUCAGAAAUAUUAAUAAACUCACCGGUAAGACACACUGUGUCAACGGAACUGCAGAAAGCAGUCAGACAUUAGAAUUAAGGCCUAGGUGUAGGUCCUACGACAAAGGUACAUUAAAACCCAAGAGUACAUAUAAGGGUUUAAUUUAUGGUCGUUACGAAAGCUAAAAUGUCACACCCCGACCACGUAAAACAACAAAUCGUGGCGGAAACGUCGGGGAGUGUUGUAACAGAAUCAUUGUUUCACAACCAUGGAUCAAAUAGUUUUGUUUUAUUGAAUUAUUGAACUCAAUGUUUUGAUACAAUUUAGAUAAAUACAAAUAAUUGUUUCUCAGUUUUAAGUCGCUAAGGCACAAGUCCAUCCUAUAUGUAGCGUGCAUCAACAAUCAUCACAUAGCAGUACCUGAAACAUAUAUGAAAAUAUGGUACGUCAGCAUAAAAAUGCCUGUGAGUAACAUAGGAUUUUGUGUAUUAGAUUCAUGGCUUUAGAUAAUAUGAGAAAAGGUUUUAUGUUUUUCAAAAUAGCCAUGAAUCUAAUGUAAAAGUUUUGUUUCUGAAAAUGUGUCGUUUUGGAAAACGGGUUUAUAGUAUAGACAAAAAUAUACUUUGGUUUUGAAAAGUUUGUACAAAUAGUAUAUCAUAGUAUACUUUACUUUUGAAAUAGUUAAAUGGAUAGUAUAUCAAAAUAUACUUUAGUAAUUAAAAUAAUAGUUUCGGUAGUAUAUCUCAAGUAUACUUUGGUUUAAGAAUAAAAGUAUUGGUAGUAUAUCAAAUUAUACUUUGGUUUGUAAAUAGCAUAUCAACUAUGCUUUGGUUAAAAGUAGCAUAUCAACUAUGCUUUAGAUAGUAUAUCAAAAUAUACUUUAGUUUAAAAUAACAAAGUUGGUAGUAUAUCAAACUAUACUUUGGUAAACAGUAGCAUAUCAAACUAUGCUUUGGUAAAUAACAAAGUAGUAUGUUAAAACAUAUGUUGGAUUUUGUACUUAGUAUAUCAAAAUAUACUUUGGUAGAUCACAUUUGAGAGCACAUCGAACUGUACUUUUGUAGUAUAUCAACAUAUACAAAGAGAGUGUGAUUUGGUAUUCAUUCAAGCCUUAGUGUAUCAAACUACACUUUGGAGACUAUAGAAAUACCACGAAGGCAAUUUCUAUUUGGUUAAAAUUUGGUUUCUGACAUUCCAUACAACAGGAAUGGGGUGUCUAGUCCUAUAGCGCUAUAUCAUACUACCAAUCGGCUGGGUGAAUGUGUAAAAAUGGUACAAUCCAACAAUUUGUUUAUUAAGUUUUGGAAAAUCAGUGUUUAAACCAUAGGUGAUUGUUUAAUUUGUCAAAAGAAUAUGUAUUAAGCAUGUGUAAUCAUAUAGUUUAAAAUCAGGAAAAUAACAGAUAGGCAUAUAUGUUUUACCCCAAAACAAUUGAAAACAGUAAAAGAGGGGACUAUGUACUCACUUGAGAUUGCAAGUAUCCUUGAUUAAAUGUCCUAACAAAGCUCGGGAAAUCAAGGAAUCAAGUGGCACCUAGUAUGGAUCACUAUGUUAAACAAUCGGAUCCUAAAUCGGAAGAUAGGAUAGAAUGAAGUUCUAUAAAUCAAAUGAGUAUUGCAACUCAUAUGGCAUGAUUUAAUAGACCUAACAUUCUGAUUUGGAAGUUUACCUAAGUGCUUUUGACCCGUUUCGACCCAUUAUGGUAGUAUAAGCCACUAUAAUGCGUCGUUUGCGUAAAACUAGGUUCGGAUGGUUAACUAUGUGCUAUGUCAAGUCUUACAUGCCCAAUUAUCCUUAAACAUGUUACUAAUUCAGAUUAUAUGUCAAAAAUAUGUUCACAUAAUCAAAAUAUGGAUUUUAGCUUCAAAAGGGCAUUUUGGUCAUUUCCUAUGGGCAUACAAGCUAACUAGCAUACGACUAACCAAUCCUAUGUGAUCAUAAGGUAUAACCUCAGUGGUUAUUCCCUAUGCAACUAUGAUCACUAACUAAGCUUGGUCGGAUCUUAAAGAUCGACCAAAUGGGUCGGGUUCGAAAGGCUAAGCGGUUGUUUAGACCGCUUACCUUAUGACCCUAAACAAGCACUAAUCUAAUAGUGUCGAGUUAAACAUGUCAAAACAUGUCUAACCUACUGAUUUGGUAUCAAAACAAAGCGUUUUGAUACCCUAAAGUAGUUCCGUUGCAAAAUGCGUGCUAAAACGCAUUUUGACCAAAACUUUGACUCGACACUACAACUAGUUAACGUGGUAAUCAGCGGCUAUAAUCACGAAGGAUUAUAACUAUCGUGAUUACAAUCACGUUUCAAAGUUCAAUUGAACUUUGACUUGACCAAUUGAUGGUCAAAACCGAAAGUCAAACUGUUGGCCAAACGUUUGACUUUCUGCACUACAUAAGGAAAAAGCAAUAAAAAGAAUGAAAGAAUGCUCACUAAGGGUCCUUGCUAUCUUUUCAACAAAGAAGACAAAGUCCCAAAUGCUUGAGAGAGCUCCCAAGUCAGAUGU
rnacentral:lncRNA from 1 species